rnacentral:sRNA from 1 species
UUACUAUCUGCGAUAUGGAAGAUUCGAACCUGCCGCAGGUUCGAGUCUCACGCAGUGAGACAACGGAGCCGCUUGCGGCGACGGCCCGAAGGGCGAGCAAAGCGAGUCAUCCUGCACGACCCACCA